ACGGAGUAAGAACUAACAAGGAUUCCCCUAGUAACUGCGAGUGAAGCGGGAAAAGCUCAAAUUUAAAAUCUGGUAGUCUUUGGCUGCCCGAGUUGUAAUCUAGAGAAGUAUUAUCCGCGCUGGACCGUGUACAAGUCUCCUGGAACGGAGCGUCAUAGAGGGUGAGAAUCCCGUCUUUGACACGGACUACCAGGGCUUUGUGAUAUGCUCUCAAAGAGUCGAGUUGUUUGGGAAUGCAGCUCUAAAUGGGUGGUAAAUUCCAUCUAAAGCUAAAUAUUGGCGAGAGACCGAUAGCGAACAAGUACCGUGAGGGAAAGAUGAAAAGAACUUUGGAAAGAGAGUUAAACAGUACGUGAAAUUGUUGAAAGGGAAACGCUUGAAGUCAGUCGCGUCUAUUGGGGAUCAGCCUUGCUCUUCUGCUUGGUGUAUUUCCUGAUGGACGGGUCAGCAUCAAUUUUGACCAGUGGAAAAAGGUCAGGGGAAUGUGGCAUCUUCGGAUGUGUUAUAGCCCUUGGUUGCAUACAUUGGUUGGGAUUGAGGAACUCAGCACGCCGCAAGGCCGGGUCUUUGACCACGUUCGUGCUUAGGAUGCUGGCAUAAUGGCUUUAAUCGACCCGUCUUGAAACACGGACCAAGGAGUCUAACAUGCCUGCGAGUGUUUGGGUGGAAAACCCAGGCGCGUAAUGAAAGUGAAAGUUGAGAUCCCUGUCGUGGGGAGCAUCGACGCCCGGACCAGACCUUUUGUGACGGAUCCGCGGUAGAGCAUGUAUGUUGGGACCCGAAAGAUGGUGAACUAUGCCUGAAUAGGGUGAAGCCAGAGGAAACUCUGGUGGAGGCUCGUAGCGAUUCUGACGUGCAAAUCGAUCGUCAAAUUUGGGUAUAGGGGCGAAAGACUAAUCGAACCAUCUAGUAGCUGGUUCCUGCCGAAGUUUCCCUCAGGAUAGCAGAAACUCAUUAUCAGAUUUAUGUGGUAAAGCGAAUGAUUAGAGGCCUUGGGGUUGCAACAACCUUUAACCUAUUCUCAAACUUUAAAUAUGUAAGACAAGCCGUCUCUAAUUGGACCGCUGGCGAUUGAGAGUUUCUAGUGGGCAUUUUGGUAGCAGAACUGGCGAUGCGGAUGACGACGCGAGGUAAGGUGCCGAUCACGCUCAUCAGACCCCACAAAGGUGUAGUCAUCUAGACGGCAGACGGUACAUGUAGUCGAUCCGCUAGAGUGGUUAACACCUACCUGCCGAAUGAACUAGCCCUUGAAAAU
rnacentral:rRNA from 1 species